UCUGUAAAGUCAUGUGACUCAUCAAAGCAUCAGAAUAGACCAGAAUUCACUGUGAGCUUCACAUCUCAUUACAGCUAAUGGACCAAUCAAAUCAGUCCACAGCUUCAAAACAUCCAAUCAGGCGUGAGUCUGGACCUGCUUUUCUACUGAACUCACAAGUUCAUUACCUCACUAUCACUUUGUCUAAACAGGAACGAUGAUCACACUCUUUGUCGCGCUUUACUCUCUUUUUUCUCUCUGCACAGCUGGAAAAACUUCUGACAUCAAGGAGCUUCAUGUGAAAACAGUAAAGCGUGGAGAAGAUGUAACUAUGGAGUGUAGCAUGAGCAAGGUCAAAAACAAAUAUAAUUUAGUUUGGUACAGACAGAGUUUUGGAAAAGUGCCUCAGUAUUUUGUAAGACGUUACGGGCAAAGUAAUUACACAUUUGCAGAGGGAUUUAAAGAUAGCCGCUUCAGUAUGACUGUAAAUGACCAGAAGUUUGAUCUCAACAUUAUCGGAACGAGAGAAGAUGAUGGAGGAGAAUAUUUAUGUGGAGAAGUGGAGGGAAAUACAAUAAAGUUCACAUCUGGAACACGUCUGCAAUUUGAAGGUGAAGAGAUGAAACACUGUCCUACACCUGGAACGGUUAACAUCAACACAGAUUCUGUUACAGGGUCCAAUGAGGGUUCAAAGAGCAGUGAUGGAAAAGGUUCCAGUUGUACUGAUCAGAUGCAUGUGCUGGUCUGGCUCUCCAUUUUUAGAGUUGGAGUUCUUGCCUUCAUGCUUCUUAUCUUUCCAAUAAUCCUGAUUGUUUUCAAAUUAAGAUCAAAUUAGAAAUUCAGAUCCAAAUGGAAGAAAUACUGAUUUAAGGAGAAAACAGUGUGUUAGAUUUAACUAGAGCUAAUUGCUUAUACUGUCCGUAUAUUGGAAUGAUUUUGGUCUAACUGUAAUGUGGAGGUAUUUACCAGCCGUACUUACAGCUGCAUUUAAGGGCUCCUGAGAGGCGCAGUACAAAAUCGUUCUCCCUAUUGUCUCGGGGUCUAAUCCUGACCAUGCCACAGACAACCGUGGUCGGAAGUCUAAGAGAGCAAAAUUGGCCUUGCUCUCUGGGAGGGAGGGACAUACUCUCUUUCCCCUGUCAAUCACAGCAACACCAGCCAAUCAUGAGCAUCUGUGGGUGUGUUAUGCUGCCCCCUGAUGGUCAGAAGUUCGAAAAGAUGCAGUUAUCUGGCUUCCCGUGUCUCACCGGAAGCAUGUGAUAGCCUUCGCCCUCCCUGGUCGGUAGCUGUUGUGUGACAGGGGAGACCUCACUGGAGGGCGGGAACUGGUCAUGAAUAAAUUAGGGAGAAAUUCAGGGGAAAAUGUAAAAAUGCAUUUAAUUAAAUAAAAUCUAAAGUGAAUGUACAACGCAG